GUAAUAUUCUAUUGGGAGAAGGCUACUACGCCGAAAGAAUGUCCAAACAAACAGUUGAGAUUCUGAAAAGAAGAGGAAAGGUUUUAGAGUCACAGAUUGAAUCGCUUAACGCUGUAAUAAAGGAUCUCAAGUUUGAGGCCUUGUUCUUUGAUGAAACAGCUACCGAGGCUGCUGAGGGUAUUGUAUAAAUAAGAGAAGACUAUGUUGAAGAAGCUUUUAAUGAAGAUAAGGCCACAAAAGCAGGCGAAGAUGAUUUUGCUCGUAUUUUAUCGCGGAUUGCUGAAGAAGGUGAAGAUAAAGAAGAAGCUGAUGAGGCUGAUA